rnacentral:rRNA from 1 species
ACGAACGCUGGCGGCGCGCCUAAUACAUGCAAGUCGAGCGAGAAGACGUAGCAAUACGUUUGUAAAGCGGCGAACGGGUGAGGAAUACAUGGGUAACCUACCCUCGAGUGGGGAAUAACUAGCCGAAAGGUUAGCUAAUACCGCGUACGCUCCUUGGACUUCGGUUCAGGGAGGAAAGCGAUACCGUGGGUAUCGCGCUCAUGGAUGGGCUCAUGUCCUAUCAGCUUGUUGGUGAGGUAACGGCUCACCAAGGCUUCGACGGGUAGCUGGUCUGAGAGGACGAUCAGCCACACUGGCACUGCGACACGGGCCAGACUCCUACGGGAGGCAGCAGUAAGGAAUAUUGCGCAAUGGGCGAAAGCCUGACGCAGCGACGCCGCGUGGGGGAUGAAGGUCUUCGGAUUGUAAACCCCUUUCGGGA